UGAGCUACACCUCGCUUAUAAUAAUAUCGAUCAUUCACUCUAAGGUGUUGCUUUUUUCCAUUCGGUGGAGGAAAUAGCAAGCAUUCUCUUUCCCCCGCUCCCCGCUGGAGUUCACAGGCUAAGUCUCUUGGAGAAGGGAAGAAGGGGUGGCUGGGAUGGGGAGAGGACAAGAAGAAGGCAGUCCUGGAAAGGGAAGGAUGACAUCACAAAAGAAAAGAAGGCGUCUCAGUCUACUGUCAGAGAUCAACCGAUGGAUCGGAUCACCUGGAUGUUGAGCCAUCCACAUGCAAACCAAGGAAGGAGAGUGUGAGCUCCUGGCUGGAGAAUUCGCUCACAAGGGUGAUGUGAUCAUCUUACGUGUAAAAGAAAACCGAAUUUCACUUCUGGUGGUGACUAUUGUCUGAUUCAUCAUUACAGUAACCACCCAAGGAAACCCUGCCCACAAAAAGCAUUCUUCUGGAGAAGUAACAGUUUUUGGUGACACACAUGAUGGCAACAAUGAACGCUUUGUGGCACGAUGACCUCUAUGAAAAAGAGAGAUAUACAGGUUUUGCUUUUGUUCACUCAACUAAUUACCAACCUUUCAUUAUACCUCUACUCGGACAUCUAAACUUCAGUUAAGCUCUAUGUUUAAGUGGGAUGGAUCUUCAAUUUGCCUACCUAAGGAUUUGAAGUCAGGUUUACAGAGGCAUCAUUUUACAAUUAUCAACUUUGAUAAAUGCAGAUUGUCAUGGAACUACCACCAGAAUCCAGAUAGAGAACAUGCUAUCAUCCCUGUUAUAUCCCUUUGUGGCUAAUCCACCACACUGUUCCAUCCACCAAAGUCCCUAGAAGCCACUGAUCUGUUUUAUGUCCCUCUGGUUUUGUCUUUUUCAAAGUCUGAAAUAAAUGGAAUUGUGGAGUGUGUA
rnacentral:lncRNA from 1 species